AGGCCGAAAGGCGUAGUCGAUGGGAAACAGGUUAAUAUUCCUGUACUUGGUGUUACUGCGAAGGGGGGACGGAGAAGGCUAUGUCGGCCGGGCGACGGUUGUCCCGGUUUAAGCGUGUAGGCUGACUUUCCAGGCAAAUCCGGAAGGUUAAGGCUGAGGCGUGAUGACGAGGCACCACGGUGCUGAAGUGACAAAUGCCCUGCUUCCAGGAAAAGCCUCUAAGCAUCAGGUAACAUCAAAUCGUACCCCAAACCGACACAGGUGGUCAGGUAGAGAAUACCAAGGCGCUUGAGAGAACUCGGGUGAAGGAACUAGGCAAAAUGGUGCCGUAACUUCGGGAGAAGGCACGCUGACAUGUAGGUGAAGCCCCUGCGGGUGGAGCUGAAGUCAGUCGAAGAUACCAGCUGGCUGCAACUGUUUAUUAAAAACACAGCACUGUGCAAACACGAAAGUGGACGUAUACGGUGUGACGCCUGCCCGGUGCCGGAAGGUUAAUUGAUGGGGUUAUCGCAAGAGAAGCUCCUGAUCGAAGCCCCGGUAAACGGCGGCCGUAACUAUAACGGUCCUAAGGUAGCGAAAUUCCUUGUCGGGUAAGUUCCGACCUGCACGAAUGGCGUAAUGAUGGCCAGGCUGUCUCCACCCGAGACUCAGUGAAAUUGAACUCGCUGUGAAGAUGCAGUGUACCCGCGGCAAGACGGAAAGACCCCGUGAACCUUUACUACAGCUUGACACUGAACAUUGAGCCUUGAUGUGUAGGAUAGGUGGGAGGCUUUGAAGCGUGGACGCCAGUCUGCGUGGAGCCGACCUUGAAAUACCACCCUUUAAUGUUUGAUGUUCUAACCUGGCGCCGUGAUCCGGCGUGGGGACAGUGUCUGGUGGGUAGUUUGACUGGGGCGGUCUCCUCCCAAAGUGUAACGGAGGAGCACGAAGGUCAGCUAAUCCUGGUCGGACAUCAGGAGGUUAGUGCAAUGGCAUAAGCUGGCUUGACUGCGAGAGUGACGGCUCGAGCAGGUGCGAAAGCAGGUCAUAGUGAUCCGGUGGUUCUGUAUGGAAGGGCCAUCGCUCAACGGAUAAAAGGUACUCCGGGGAUAACAGGCUGAUACCGCCCAAGAGUUCAUAUCGACGGCGGUGUUUGGCACCUCGAUGUCGGCUCAUCACAUCCUGGGGCUGAAGUAGGUCCCAAGGGUAUGGCUGUUCGCCAUUUAAAGUGGUACGCGAGCUGGGUUUAGAACGUCGUGAGACAGUUCGGUCCCUAUCUGCCGUGGGCGCUGGAGAAUUGAGGGGGGCUGCUCCCAGUACGAGAGGACCGGAGUGGACGCAUCACUGGUGUUCGGGUUGUCAUGCCAAUGGCACUGCCCGGUAGCUAAAUGCGGAAGAGAUAAGUGCUGAAAGCAUCUAAGCACGAAACUUGCCCCGAGAUGAGUUCUCCCUGAGACUGUAAGUCUCCUGAAGGAACGUUGAAGACGACGA
rnacentral:rRNA from 1 species